rnacentral:rRNA from 1 species
UACGUACUGUGCGAACGUUAUUCGGAAUCACUGGGCUUAAAGGGUGCGUAGGCGGCCAAUUAAGUAGGGUGUGAAAGCUCUCGGCUCAACCGAGGAAUUGCGCUCUAAACUGAAUGGCUUGAGUGAGAUAGGGGUGUGCGAACUUCCAGUGGAGCGGUGAAAUGUGUUGAUAUUCACAGGAACUCCGGUGGCGAAGGCGGCUCGCUGGAUCUCUUCUGACGCUGAGGCGCGAAAGCCAGGGGAGCAAACGGG